CCUAAGGAAAAAAGAUCUGAAAGAUAUCCUAAAGCCAGAGCGCCGCUUUCAGAGAACCCCACCCCCUCGAUCGAGUAUCUUCUUCUUCUUCUUAUGCCAUUUUCAAUGGUUUCGUCUGAAGCAAAAAGCAACAACUCCAUGAGCUACUGUUCUUGAACAAAAUUGAGACCUUAAGCAUCAGCUUCCUCUUAUCCAAAAAGAAAAAAUAAAAGACAUGAGCAUCUAGAAAUGGGAGGGAUCGAAAAUUUCCAGCAGUUUCUUCAUCUCGUAACUCCGACAACCCUCCAUUGAGUCCGGCGAAAGCCGAGUUCGAACCCAGUCAUAAACUCAGCUACAAAACCAUCUGAAAUAACAUCUCAAAGCAGCACGAAACACACACAAAAUUAGCCAAGGUUUUGAGUCGAGCCCGUCGAGUUCGCCCAUUUGGUGUUCUAGUCGAAGGUUUCGUUUUCAAUUUCCAGUAACCUGUAUUGCCGAGAGCUGCUGCUAGUACUUGCUUGUGCAGCAAAACAUGAUGUUGGUACCAAGAGUUCUGCCUGGGGGAAGGAGUUGUCGGACGGCACAUCCAGUAGCAAUUCCUCGUCAGAACUUCCAUUUGCAAAAUGGAGAGAAUCCAGAUUCCAGCAUAGGAGAAUUAUUACAAGGCAAGGCAAAUAGGCUUUUGGACUGAAGCAAAAGCUAUCGAUGUAUAUUAGUUCCUUCUACUCAUACCUGCUUUUCAUAACCACCAUAUUGGGACUCUUCAUUGCUUUCUUUGCACCUGAAGCGAAAUGGGUUGAAAAGUAUUUCCAUAUGAAUUAGUGAUAUAGUUGAAGCACAUACUGCACAUGGAAAAUAGAGCUAGGGAAUUUUUCCUCAAAGAAAAAAAUCUACUAUUCCCCCAUUGCCCUCAAAUGAAGUUUUAGCAUUACUUAAGCUGGGGAAAUUAUGUGGCAAAGAUACUUGAUAAAGAGGAAAGCUAGACAAAUUUUAUGGACCAUCUGUUGCAAGAUUGAGGAAAUUGUUCACAUGUACAAGUAUGACAUUAAAAGUAUGUUAAUUCUAUCCUUUUUUUUCUUUUGGCAUUA